UCUUCACUAAACUUUAGUUAGUAGUUGGUCCCAGUCAGUAACACUCUGGGAGGGCUCAGGCCACAUCACGAAAUGUGACAGGAUAGCCUUGAACUCAUCAAUUGCUGGGUAAGAAAGAAUUUUAAUGCAAUGGCAAACAACCAAUCAAACAAGCAAACAAAAACAAUAAACCCUUCCUUGAGGACCAAGAAGACAUUGAUUAGCUAACCUAAGAGCUCCAGGUGGAGACCUAGGUCCUGAUUGGGUUUCUGAAUUUGACCACUAGGCAGAAAACUAGCACCCAAAACCAGUUGGAAUAAAAUUACCCACCUACAGUGGAGCCAAGGCCCCCAGAUCCUUUUUGUCAGGGGCACCUCAAACUCAACUCCAAAAUUGAUCUAAUGAACUUUCCCAAACCACAUUCCCUUCUUGCAUUUCUGAGAGAAUGGAUUCCCAUUCAUCUGACUACAGUGCUACCCUGAAAGCAGAUCCAGAGACUAAGAUUCACCUGCAGGUGAUUCAUUUGCAAGGUAAGCUGUCAUCAGUUGGAGGUAAGCAGAAGACAGUAGAGAGUACAGAGCCCUGGACUGUGACUCAGAGGAUGAGCACCAGAUCCAGUUUGCUGUGCCACAGUGCUCAGCAUGAUGUAAACUCCACUGCGGACAGAUGCAGCCAAGAAGACAGGUCACCUUCUACCAACUCCCACCAGAGGAAACUCUUCCCCAGGACCCAGUACGUUGGCCCUCUGACCCUGCACACAGCACAUGAUGCUGAGGUUCAGUGCUGAACAAGAGCUACUGAGAGCCAGAGAUUCACUUCUUCCAUGGAGCCCCACUCAUGGAUGGAGGCUCUGUCCCGGGUCCAGUGCCACUGGGAACACUGGGUCUCUGGUUUCUAGCUCUGUCCUAUGGCAGAGGUUCCACCCCACAAUAACCGAAGUGCUGAGAAGGUGGGAAGCUCCUGCCCGACCCUCCACUGAGAGCUCAGCUCCUAGGCUGAGGAAUAAAACAGCUCAACUUUGUCUACACCUGCAGAACCUUGUUUAGGAGCUCUGUCCCAGGAGAGAGGGGGCAAUGGAAUUCAGUCAUAAAAUAUGAUCCUUAAUUAGUCCUAAAAAUCCUAACUUCAGUAACAGCAGAUUGUGGACAAAUUGAAAGCCUGCCAGUGCUCUCAAAAACAGUGGAUGGUGUGGUGGAAAGCCCUUGGAAGGAGACGGGUGGAUGCAUGGGAGAUGCAGGCUACACUGCAGGGCUGCUGGCUUGCAGGAGAGAACCGAGGACAAGGGAGAGCUGGGGAAAGUUCUCUUGUGGUUGAAAUAAAUGCCAGACACUCUUCAAUGGA
rnacentral:lncRNA from 1 species